rnacentral:lncRNA from 1 species
GGGAGGCCAUACAUGUGUGAAGGCAGGGGUGUAUAUGGCAAAUCUUUGGAGUGCGUGACAAUUUUUGCUAUGAAACUAAAGCUACAUCGAAAUUGUAAAGUUACAAGAAAUUGGCAUUAAAUUUAGGAAUACAUACUAAGAAAGAAGAGAGAAAGGCAACUUAUGUAUGGUAGAUUUACUAUUUGAACAAAAGAGAGUCUCUAUCUAGAGCCUGUAUUUUACUGGAUUCAUUCUGUUCACUUCAUCUUUAGAACCUGUCACAUAACUAAGGUAAAGCAAGAUUAUGAAAAGAAAAAUGAAGUGGGAAAAAAAAAAAUGAAGUGGGAUUUCCCCAUACACUUUUGGCAGACGGGAAGCAACAAGCUUCAUUUGCAGCUAAUGAGAUUAAUUUACUUGACUCUUAACAUCAAUGUGUAUGAUUGAUACGUUAUAGACAACUAUGAGAGUGACAUCUGAGAAAAGAAUUCAGUUAUUGGAUAAAAGAUAUUACCUGUUCGGUGAAUUAUGAAGAUAAAGUUAUUUUGAUAAACACCAUUUUAUAUGUCAUUCACAUGGUAAGAGGUGAGCCUUAAAAUAGUAUUAAUUUGUCAUAUAUUCUGAAUUCUCCUUUGUUUUGUUGCUUAGUGAAGUUGGGUCAGACACCAAAAUAGAGAUACUGAAAAUGCAUGAAUUGUAUUUUCCAAGUAAGCUUAAAUUGACCAACUAAAUACUUCUAUGAAUGAUUUAAGAAUUGAGGGGAGAAAUUUUAGUUUUAUCAUAUUUAAUCAAAAUUAUUAGUU